rnacentral:rRNA from 1 species
AACGAACGCUGGCGGCAUGCCUAACACAUGCAAGUCGAACGAAACGUUCGGGUCUUGUUGCGCUCGUGGACUUACCACCGGGGAACCUGCCCUUAGGUUCGGAAUACCUCCCCGUAAGGGGUGCUAAUACCAGUUAAUCUCUUCCGACAUAAGAUUUUUGGCCAUGGGAUGGGCGCGCGUUGGAUUCGCGAGUUGGUAGGGUAAAAGCCUGCCAAGGCGACGAUGCAUAGCUGGUCGGAGAGGAGGACCAGCCACACUGGGACUGAGACCCGGACCAGACUCCGACGCAAGGGAGCAGUGGGGAACAUUGGAGGAGGGGGGAAAGCCUGAUCAAGCAAUGCGGCGGGAGUGAGGAAGGGCGUAGGGUUGUAAAGCUCUUUUAGCCGGGAUGAGAGUGACAGUACCGGGUGAAUAAGCUCCGGCUAACUCCGUG